AGCGAACGCUGGCGGCAGGCUUAACACAUGCAAGUCGAGCGGGCGUAGCAAUACGUCAGCGGCAGACGGGUGAGUAACGCGUGGGAACGUACCUUUUGGUUCGGAACAACACAGGGAAACUUGUGCUAAUACCGGAUAAGCCCUUACGGGGAAAGAUUUAUCGCCGAAAGAUCGGCCCGCGUCUGAUUAGCUAGUUGGUGAGGUAAUGGCUCACCAAGGCGACGAUCAGUAGCUGGUCUGAGAGGAUGAUCAGCCACAUUGGGACUGAGACACGGCCCAAACUCCUACGGAGGCAGCAGUGGGGAAUAUUGGACAAUGGGCGCAAGCCUGAUCCAGCCAUGCCGCGUGAGUGAUGAAGGCCUUAGGGUUGUAAAGCUC
rnacentral:rRNA from 1 species